rnacentral:lncRNA from 1 species
AGUCACUGCUCCGACUCCGUACAGAUGGGCUGUAUCCUAUCUUCAGGACAAGAGGUGAUGGCCUUAAGUUGUGGCAGAGGAAAUUCAGGUCGGAUGUUAGGAAAAACUGGUUCUCAGAAAGAGUGAUGAUGCACUGGCACAGACUGCCCAAGGAAGUGGGGGAGUCACCAUCCCCAGAGAUGUUUAAAGAAAAAGAUAUCAUACUUAGGGACAUGAUUAGUGGGCAAUACUGGUGAUAGGUGGAUGGUUGGAUUAGAUGACCUUAAAGGUGUUUUCCAACCUUAAUGAUUCUAUGAUUCUAUGUACAUUUUUGAUGUAUGAAAUUCUUGCUCAUAAAUUACCAGCCUUGAAGACUGUGCACUGGAGGUCUGAAGUUCCCAUCCAGAGAAAAGAGAGCAUGUCCAUGAAAAUGUGGUUGGAGGAACCACAGAGGGGAGAAGGAUUGAAUACAGGAGAUAACACCAGCAGAUAAGAGCAGCUCAGCCCCAGAAGCCAAGUGCCUGAAUCUCAUGUUCCACAGAUACGUCCAUUGGCCCAAAUGGAGUCUGACCACCACAUCUGGAACGGAACGUCUGAAAACCGAGCAGGAGAGGAAGGGGGAGCAGGAUGGGUAAAAACUCUUCCAUAAGGCUAUUUCAUUUCAACAACGUCAAAAGAUUUUGUUUCAAAUGUCAUGUUGAUUCAUUUCAUUUUGACUUUUGUAUUAAAAUACUAAUUGCAUUAUAUAUAAAUGUUGACAUUCUAUGAAUAUAUUAAUACAUUAAUAUUGCUGUAGAGUAUAACAGUCCGUACAAAAUGAAUGGAAAAGACAGUGCACAUACCAGAUGUGUGAGUCCUGUCUAAAAUGAAACUUCUCAUGGCCUCAAACAUUUUCAGAUUUUCUUUCUGCCUUGUGUUUCAUCUGUUCCUCCUGUAUUGGACCAAACCAGACUGUCUGAGAAAGAGCUGCAAGUAAAGCAAAGCUUAUAAAAGGUGUUUUCCAAAAUGUACAAUAUCACAGAAUCAUAGAAUCACAGAAUCAUAGAAUCAUAGAAUCAUAGAAUGGCCCGGGUUGAAAAGGACCAUAAUGAUCAACUAGUUUCAACCCCCUGCUAUGUGCAGGGUCACCAACCACCAGACCAGGCUGCCCAGAGGCUCCCGUGUCCUCACACUUCCCAGAGCAGAAUACCAAUAGUCCGAGGACCUGUCUCCUCAGUCUUGUAAACAUGUGCUCUUUUGAUGUCCUCUGUCUCCAAGUUUUGGCUCCAUUUCACUUGGUCUGCUCUUCCAUGCUCCCUCCAGUGCAUCACAGCCAACACAGUGCUGUUGGUGGAAGGGUCCAUUCAUUCCUCUGCCAACAACACUGAGAGAGCGGCUGCUCAUGCAAUGCAAUGGGAAACAGAAAAUAUUUAGCCCCCAAGAAAACUCAGUGACACUACAGAACUUUGCUUUAGUUUAAUACCCACUGACACUCAUUUUCUGCUCGCAUCUAGAGAGCGUU